rnacentral:rRNA from 1 species
AUUGAACGCUGGCGGCAUGCUUUACACAUGCAAGUCGAACGGUAACACGCCUUCGGGUGCUGACGAGUGGCGAACGGGUGAGUAAUGCAUGGGAACGUGCCCCGAUGUGGGGGGUAAUGCAGCGAAAACUGUGCUAAUACCGCCGGUGAUCUGAGGAUGUAAGCGGGGGACCAGGCAGCAAUGUUUGGCCUCGCGCCUUUGGAGCGGCCGAUGUCAGAUUAGGUAGUUGGUGGGGUAAAGGCCUACCAAGCCGACGAUCUGUAGCUGGUCUGAGAGGACGACCAGCCACACUGGGACUGAGACACGGCCCAGACUCCUACGGGAGGCAGCAGUGGGGAAUGUUGGACAAUGGGCGCAAGCCUGAUCCAGCAAUGCCGCGUGCGGGAAGAAGGCCUUCGGGUUGUAAAACGCUUUUGUACGGAAAGAAAAGGCUCUGGCUAAUACCUGGGGCUGAUGACGGUACCGUAAGAAUAAGCACCGGCUAACUACGUG